rnacentral:rRNA from 1 species
UACGAAGGGGGCUAGCGUUGUUCGGAUUUACUGGGCGUAAAGCGCGUGUAGGCGGACUGAUAAGUUGGGGGUGAAAGCCCAGGGCUCAACCCUGGAACUGCCUUCAAGACUGUCAGUCUGGACUCAAGGAGAGGCGAGUGGAAUCGCGAGCGUAGAGGUGAAAUUCGUAGAUAUUCGCAGGAGCACCAGUGGCGAAGGCGACUCGCUGGACUUGUAGUGACGCUGAGACGCGAAAGCGUGGGGAGCAAACAGG